rnacentral:rRNA from 1 species
UACGGAGGGUGCGAGCGUUGUCCGGAAUCACUGGGUGUAAAGGGCGCGUAGGUGGCUUCUCAAGCGCGCGGUGAAAGCCCGGGGCUCAACCCCGGGUCGGCCGUGCGGACUGGGAGGCUCGAGCACUGUAGGGGCGGGUGGAAUUCCGGGUGUAGCGGUGGGAAUGCGUAGAGAUCCGGAAGAACACCGGUGGCGAAGGCGGCCCGCUGGGCAGGAAGACGGGGCAACCCGUCGGCUGACACUGAGGCGCGACAGCGUGGGGAGCAAACAGG